rnacentral:rRNA from 1 species
AUUGAACGCUGGCGGCAUGCUUUACACAUGCAAGUCGAACGGCAGCGCGGGCUUCGGCCUGGCGGCGAGUGGCGAACGGGUGAGUAAUGCAUCGGAACGUGCCCAGUAGUGGGGGAUAGCCCGGCGAAAGCCGGAUUAAUACCGCAUACGACCUGAGGGUGAAAGCGGGGGACCGAAAGGCCUCGCGCUAUUGGAUCGGCCGAUGUCGGAUUAGCUAGUUGGUGGGGUAAAGGCCUACCAAGGCGACGAUCCGUAGCUGGUCUGAGAGGACGACCAGCCACACUGGGACUGAGACACGGCCCAGACUCCUACGGGAGGCAGCAGUGGGGAAUUUUGGACAAUGGGGGCAACCCUGAUCCAGCCAUGCCGCGUGUGUGAAGAAGGCCUUCGGGUUGUAAACCGCUUUUGUUCGGGAAGAAAUCCUGUGGGCUAAUACCCCGGGGGGAUGACGGUACCGAAAGAAUAAGCACCGGCUAACUACGUG